UCUUACCAGUCUUGAAUCUGUGUGGGUAAUAACCAACCAUCUUGAGCAUCUGUCAUGUAACACUACAAUUUGGCAAUGCAUCUCAGUCUGCUUUAGAAACCAGGCCUAAAUUUAGCACCUGCCUCACACAGUCGAAAUUUGUAUUAUUGUUUCUGAUUUGAAAACAUUAAAGUAUAAUCCCAAACUUUAGAGGCAGCAGGAAACAUGGAAUGAAAUGCUAACACAUGUUGAUGACUGAAUUUGCCACCAGCAGGCUGAAUAAGCUGAAGCAACAUUCCUGAUGCAUGGAGCCUCAGUAACAUUUGGAUGAGGAAGAGAAAGAAAGAAAGGAAAGGAAAGAGGAAAAGAAACAUAGAAGAAUAGAAAUAUCUAUUUCAUUGAUAUUGACUCUUCUGGCUAUACAGUUAUGAACUGUGCCCAACCAAGAACAUGCAAAAAUUUGGAGCCCCAAAUCUGUCUUCUGCUAGCGUCUUGGUUCCAUGUUCCUUGCAGAGCUAAGUAUCUUACCCCAUAUUAAAUAUAUUUAAAAAUCUCAUUUUUGGAUAAACAUGACCAACUGUGUUAGCUGUGGUUCAAGUGAAUACAGCAUGAUCUGUUUCAAAGCUGGAGGAAAACCUGACUUUGCUAAGCUUGGUUGGAGAAGGUCUCCCACCUGGCAUCCUUUAAAGGGACUUUCAAGGUCAACAUCAGUAAUGCAUAGUUUUCUUUUUAUGUAUGCUCUGAUUAUAAAAUCUAACCCUAUUACAAGUAUCACUUUUAUUUUAUUUCCAAGUGUACUCUUAAUGUGGCCUUUUUUUCAGAUGAUGUUAGUUAUGUAUGGUAAGAAAGACUUAUGAGAAUGUACAGUUGUAGAACAAUAGUUAGAAAAAGUCAUGGAGCAAAAGAGAAACAAGACAAGAUAAAGAAAAAGCAAUGCCCUAAAUGGAAACUAUAAAAAGAGGGGCUAAUAGUAAAAAGGGGAGAUGAAAUUAAUUUAGUGAGACUUCUGAUGUCAUUGACUCAUAGCAAGCAGAAUUAUUUCACAUUUACACUUUAUUCAUGUCUGUUGUUAUACUUUAAUGAUUUAACUUGUAGUAUUCAAGUUGAUCUGAGAUUUGAAAUAUUAGUAUCUCAUUAAAUUAAUUAUAUUCUCAAUAUUAAAUAAUUAUUGAAAGGAUCUACAUUCUCCCAAGUUGAUUCGCUUAUUUACUAAAGGAAGUUAUAGGUUUUACUCUAUUUUCAUUUCCCUUAAUGAAGUUAUGUUGGAUACAAUAACAGUUAACUUAUAAAUAGAAGGAGGUAAGAAUAUGCUAAGUUGGACAGGGCAUAAAGAAAAAUAAAGAUCAGAAAAAUCUGAUCUCACACCAGAGAGAGGUUAUACCAAUAAAAUUUGAAAAAAAGAAAAAUCUGAUCACUUUUUACUGUGAAAACUUCCAUUCAGUAGCUUACCUAAGUAGCAUCAACUGAGGAGAAAAAAUGCUUGGUUGUAUCCACUAAUGCAUCAGUAUUGUUUUCCCCUCAUGAGCUUUUCCUGGAUUUAAACAAAAUGCUUAUUUUAAAGGCUAAUGCAACUCCCUGCCCAUUAAUGAAAUGCUAGUAUCCAGGAAAAGGAUGGGUGGAGUUUGGAGAUAUGAGAAAAAUAAAUGACACACUCAUUUCCUUUACCUUAAGGAUUUCCACUUUUUUGUUAAAAAACAAAAAUGGAGGUAGAAUAAAAAAAUGAAAGCUAUCAUGUUACUGUCGAAUGCCUUUCUGCCAUGAGUGCCGCACGACUUGAGGAAAGAGAGCUCCAUAUUCAGGCUCAAAGACUCAGAGUCAACUUCAUGAAAAAGCAGCACACUGCCCAAAUGGCUGAAAUGAAAUGGUGUUAUUCCACUGGAAAAAUAUUGACUAUAAAAUCCUGACCUUGGAAAGUGGACCUGAAGAGAGACUCACAUUUAUUUCCAGUGUGUUGGAUGACUGUGACUCUAACUAAAUGGAACAAUGUCUUCAUCCAUUUUUGGUACUCAGGUUUCAAGUGGGUUGCCACCACAGAUAUGCAGCAUUCUGGGAACAAUGGAUGGGUCAAAGUGAAACCCAUCAGGAAGCACCAUUUCUCACCCAAAAUGGCCACAGG
rnacentral:lncRNA from 1 species